UUGUUUAUUGUAGCCGUGAUGGCAAUGUCAUGGAUAAAAUCGCUGGGCAACUCAUCCCCUCUCCCACCUUCUACUUUGACUCAACAAUGGAGGGACAUAACAUAGGGCCACAAAGACCUGCAGUUUGUGAAGGAUUAUCAUCUUUUAUGGACCCACUGGUUCUGGCAAGUCCAGCUUCAUCAACUCUGUCGACAGUGCUUUACAAGGCAGAAUCACUUGUCGAGCUUUGCCAGAUGCAAUCUAUCAGGAGAGCUUCACCACAGAAUACAGAACUUUUAAAAUCCAAAACGGAGGACCAGGAACAUUUUACCCCUUUGUCUUCACUGACAUCAUGGGCAUUGAGCAAGGAACCAAUAAAAGAGUUGGUGUGGAAGACAUCAAACAAGCUUUGAUGGGACACAUUAGAGAUGGUUACAAUUUCAAUCCUGUCUGUAAAAUAUUGGAGGAUGAUAAAAACUACAACAAAACCCCCACUCUGUGUGACCGAGUUCAUGUUCUGGUUUGUGUAAUCACUGCCGACACAGUAAAUAUUCUGAAUGCUGAAUCUGUGAGAAAGAUGAGGGAAGUCAGACUUGCAGCCAGAGACAUGGGGAUUCCCCAACUGGCUAUUCUCUAUUCUCACCAAAAUUGAUGAAGCCUGCCCAGAGGUCAAAAGAGAUAUAAGGAAUGUCUAUAAGAGCAUGUACCUGAAGCAACAGAUGGAAAAAUUAAGUGCGGGGCUGGGUAUUCCACUGUACUGCAUCUUUCCGGUGAAGAACUACCACUCAGAGAUCGCCACAAAUGAUGACACUGACACACUGAUACUAAGUGCACUGAGACAGAUGAUUAACUUUGGAAAAGACUUUGUUGACAGCAUGUAAACCUACAUACUGCUGAGGCAAAUCUUGCUUUAGCAGCGUGAAGAGUCAGUCUGCAAACAGGAAUGGCAUAAAGUGGGCUUCUGGGUUUUCAUUUGCAUGCAGGUAAUGCAUAUCUGCUAUAAGUUGUCAUACAUCUACCUUGCUAAAUAAAGUAUGAACA